ensembl:lncRNA
GGACAAGAAGGAGAGGGAAGGAGGAGAGUAUUUUCUAUGGUAUGGGAACCUCAUAGAGUGACCAAUCUCUUAUGGGUCAUUUUUCAGAUUGAUCAAGAUGUUCUGGAAAACAUGGAAAAGAGACGCCCCUCCAUAAAGGUACUGUCACUGACCUAUUGAGGUUAAUCAGAAAUGUGGGGGCGCACUAUGGUGGAAAACCGCAAUGGUAAGUGGUCAUAUUGGGAUUGAUGUCCCAGAUGAAGAUAGUUCUGGGGGACUGCGAGGGGAGUUGUGUGGGAGUGGGUCCUUUUUCACUUCCAGCAUUAUAAAAAACCAAAAAACAACUGUAAGUGCAUUUUGCAACCAGAUUUUGAAAACUAGUGGCCAAAAUCCCGCCCCCCCUACCAGUAAAGUGAUUUUUUUAAAUCCCCGGGCAGGAGAACAAGGGUGAGAAAGGAAGAAGCCACAGAUGCAAAGCAGGGAGAGCAUGGACCUUAGUUUGUUUCCAGGAAAUUCUCUCAAAGGCUGAUGAAAAGUGGGAAAACCUACUUCUUUGAUACUUCACAGUCAAUUGGGAUGCCCCAGGUAAAUUCAUCUGUUUUCUAUUCUAGGUUCAAGGAAAUAAUCCAGAACCCAUCACAGUAUUUUGUUGACCGGUUUCCAGAUCUGACAUUUUAUGUCUAUGAGCAUUUGUGCCAUGUGGACAGAGGCUUUCCUAAAGAAGGUCCUUCAUCACAUCUUCAAAGGCUACACUCCCAGCUGAGACAUCGCUUUGAGCACCCGAAGCUGCUCAAUCCUCUGCUGAUGACAAAAUAAGGCACAAGCGGAGCAACAGGGACACUAUGUGGCCAGAUGGAAGAAAAAUUCAAGUCUCUUCCUUGGGAAUUUCCCAGAAAGAGAGGCACCCCAGGGGAGUGGGGUUGGGAAGAGAGAUGAAUUUAAAAUAUGUAUAUGCUGUGAGACAUUACUCUGCUCAGCUGCUUCUUUGCAGUGACUGUA